rnacentral:tRNA from 1 species
GCGGGUGUAGCUCAAUUGGUAGAGUAGCGGUCUCCAAAACCGUUGGUUGGGGGUUCGAGUCCCUCCUCCCGUGC